AGUCUGGUGCCAGCAGCCGCGGUAAUUCCAGCUCCAAAAGCAUAUAUUAAAGUUGUUGCGGUUAAAAAGCUCGUAGUUGGAACCAUGACCUCGGAGGGCGGUCCCCCACUGGGUGCGUACUGCUGCUCCGAGUCCUAUCUGUCAGUUUGUCUGUGUUGCCUUUAAUCGGGUGGCACAGGUGACUGACGUGUUUACUUUGAAAAAAUUAGAGUGUUUAAAGCAGGCGUUGAAUGCCUGAAUAGUGGUGCAUGGAAUAAUGGAAUAGGAUCUCGGUUCUAUUUUGUUGGUUCAAGAGCAUGAGAAAAUGAUUAAGAGGGACAGACGGGGGCAUUUGUAUUGCUGCGUUAGAGGUGAAAUUCUUGGAUCGUAGCAAGACAAACUACUGCGAAGGCAUUUGCCAAGAAUGUUUUCAUUAAUCAAGAACGAAAGUUAGAGGUUCGAAGGCGAUCAGAUACCGCCCUAGUUCUAACCGUAAACCAUGUCGACUAGCUAUCUGUCAGCGUUAAUAAUGACCUGACAGGCAGCUUACCGGAAACGAAAGUUUCUCGAUUCCGGGGGUAGUAUGGUUGCAAAGCUGAAACUUAAAGGAAUUGACGGAAGGGCACCACCAGGAGUGGAGCCUGCGGCUUAAUUUGACCCAACACGGGAAAACUCACCCGGCCCGGACACCGUAAGGAUUGACAGAUUAAUAGCUCUUUCUCGAUUUGGUGAUUGGUGGUGCAUGGCCGUUCUUAGUUGGUGGAGCGAUUUGUCUGGUUAAUUCCGAUAACGAACGAGAUUCUAACUUACUAACUAGUUCCACGAUCCCUGUGGUCCUAAAUACUUCUUAGAGGGAAAACCGGCAUUUAGUCGAACGAGAUUGAGCAAUAACAGGUCUGUGAUGCCCUUAGAUGUCCGGGGCUGCACGCGUGCUACACUGAAGGAAUCAGCGUGUUUUUCCCUUGCCUGUAAUGGCUGGGUAACCGACUGAAUCUCCUUCGUGUUAGGGAUAGAUCAUUGAAACUAGUGAUCUUCAACUUGGAAUUCCUGGUACGUUUGAGUCAUAAGCUCAAGCAGAUUACGUCCCUGCCCUUUGUACACACCGCCCGUCGCUACUACCGACUGGCAAUAUCUUUGAGACACUUGGAGCGGCCGUGAGCUACCCUAACCGGUAACUCACGGCUGCGAAAAGGUU
rnacentral:rRNA from 1 species